rnacentral:rRNA from 1 species
UACGAAGGGGGCUAGCGUUGUUCGGAAUUACUGGGCGUAAAGCGCACGUAGGCGGAUACUUAAGUCAGGGGUGAAAUCCCGGGCUCAACCCGGAACUGCCUUGAUACUGGGUAUCUCGAGUCCGGAAGAGGUGAGUGGAAUUCCGAGUGUAGAGGUGAAAUUCGUAGAUAUUCGGAGGAACACCAGUGGCGAAGGCGGCUCACUGGUCCGGUACUGACGCUGAGGUGCGAAAGCGUGGGGAGCAAACAGGAU